GUUUCUAAGGAACAUACACUAAAAUUGGAAUAAUAUGGAAAAGAUUAACUUGUAUCCUCUACAAGGAUGACAUGCAAAUUUAUAAAGCAUUCCAUAUUUUU
ensembl:snRNA U6 U6 spliceosomal RNA